rnacentral:rRNA from 1 species
UACGUAGGGGGCAAGCGUUGUCCGGAAUCAUUGGGCGUAAAGCGCGUGUAGGCGGCUUGGUCAGUCCGGCGUGAAACCUCGGGGCUCAACCCCGAGCCUGCGUUGGAUACUGCCUCGCUCGAGUCCGGGAGGGGAGAGCGGAAUUCCCAGUGUAGCGGUGAAAUGCGCAGAUAUUGGGAAGAACACCGGUGGCGAAGGCGGCUCUCUGGAACGGUACUGACGCUGAGACGCGAAAGCGUGGGGAGCAAACAGG